CUACACUUGGUAUGAAGGACACAUGUUAUAAAAUAUUAUAUUAUACACAAAUUUUUUAAAAAAAACCGAUUUACAUUAGUGUACUGUGUGGUGGGUUGAAUGAGGAAAGUAAUUAACUUUCCUUGUUUUUGCUCGCACGUGUCAAUGUUAUUUAUAGUAUUUGGUUUCUCUCUCUUCCUAAUUUUACUUCUCUCUCCUUUGCUCAUUCUCUCUUCCGCCAUAUUUUUUGCUUCCGUUUCCGCCAUUGUUACAAGCUUGUAGCUUUCUUCCAUCGAUUUCUAGGGGAUUUGGUUGAAGAGAAAUGCUGGACACUUUGGGAGAAGAUCAAUGAAAACCUUUGUGCCGCAAGACCUGUCUUAACAAUUGCUAUGGAUGCUGGCCUUAGUAAGGCUAUUCUUGAGACUGAUGUGGUAAUGUUACUGCUCAUAAACUUGCCCAAGCUAGUGGAGAUGAGAGUAUGGAUUGAGGAGGCUCCACGUUGUGUAAUGGCUGCUGUGAUGCUUGAUUCUGCUAUCAUCCCUUAAUAAAUUUUGCUACUGUAACUUUCAAAGUUCAUCCUUCUUUUUUUAUAACACUUAUUCAAUGGUUUUAGGGAUCUCGAGGCCUCAAGAACUUUUAGAGCAAGUAAACUGAUAUUGUAAUAGUCAAUAUGCAACUAUGAUAAGAGGUUGAGUCAUUUAUAGAUGAUGAUUUGGAUUGGCACAAUGUACUUUUGAUGACACCAGAGUUAUUGAUGAAUUGAAGUUUCUCUCUAUCCUUCUUUUAA